GACGAACGCUGGCGGCGUGCUUAACACAUGCAAGUCGAACGGAAAGGCCCUGCUUUUGUGGGGUGCUCGAGUGGCGAACGGGUGAGUAACACGUGAGUAACCUGCCCUUGACUUUGGGAUAACUUCAGGAAACUGGGGCUAAUACCGGAUAGGAGCUCCUGCUGCAUGGUGGGGGUUGGAAAGUUUCGGCGGUUGGGGAUGGACUCGCGGCUUAUCAGCUUGUUGGUGGGGUAGUGGCUUACCAAGGCUUUGACGGGUAGCCGGCCUGAGAGGGUGACCGGCCAGAUUGGGAAUGAGAUACGGCCGAGAGUCCUACGGGAGGCAGCAGUGGGGAAUAGUGCACAAUGGGCGGAAGCCGGAUGCAGCAACGCCGCGUGCGGGAUGACGGCUUUCGGGUUGUAAAACGAUUUCGCCUGUGACGAAGCGUGAGUGACGGUAAUGGGUAAAGAAGCACCGGCUAAAUACGUG
rnacentral:rRNA from 1 species